UGGAUGGUACUUUAUUACCUUCGGUUACCCACGGUAUUCUAGAGCUAAUACAUGGCUUCCAGACCCGACUUUUGAAGAAGGGUUGUGCUUAUUUAAAACUGCACCCUCCCGGGUUGCCCGGGUGCAAGGUGAUGGAAGGUAAUCGAAUGAAUCGCCUGCUUCGCCGGCAAUGAUCCUUCCAAGUUCCGGACCUAUCAUUUAUGGUGGGAGGAAAGUUGCCUAUGGUGGCGUUUGACGGGUAACAAUAAAUUAGGUACUGAUUCCGAAAAGGGAGCCUGAAAAACGGCUACCACAUCUAGGGAAGGCGAGGGCGCUCACAUUAUCCAAUCCUGAGACAGGGAUGUAGUGACAUAAAAUACCAAUAUGAGGCUCUUUUGUCUUGUAAUUGGAAUGAACUCAAUUCACCUUCUGUUCGAGUAUCGAUUGGAGGGCAUGUCAGAU
rnacentral:rRNA from 1 species